rnacentral:rRNA from 1 species
CACGUAGGCGGAUCGUUAAGUGAGGGGUGAAAUCCCGGGGCUCAACCCCGGAACUGCCUUUCAUACUGGCGAUCUGGAGUUCGAGAGAGGUGAGUGGAAUUCCGAGUGUAGAGGUGAAAUUCGUAGAUAUUCGGAGGAACACCAGUGGCGAAGGCGGCUCACUGGCCCGAUACUGACGCUGAGGUGCGAAAGCGUGGGGAGCAAACA